AGUCUCAGAUUCUUCGCAGAACGCAUAAAUCUUUCGCCUUUUACUAAAGAUUUCCGUGCGAAGGAUCAUAAAUGAGUUAUUUCAUCUAUUAAAUAUAAAAUAUAAAACAGAGAAUUU